rnacentral:rRNA from 1 species
UACGUAGGGGGCAAGCGUUGUCCGGAUUUAUUGGGCGUAAAGAGCGUGUAGGCGGCCGCACAGGUCCGUUGUGAAAACUGGAGGCUUAACCUCCAGACGUCGAUGGAAACCGUGCGGCUAGAGUCCGGAAGAGGAGAAUGGGAUUCCUGGUGUAGCGGUGAAAUGCGCAGAUAUCAGGAAGAACACCCGUGGCUAAGGCGGUUCUCUAGUACGGUACUGACGCUGAGACGCGAAAGCGUGGGGAGCGAACAGG